UGCCACUCCCCUCGCUAAAACGGGGAAACCUUCUGACAGUGACCACUGCUGCAGACAGUCUCCUCUCUUGUAGUUAACUACUUCGCUGCUGACCCAGCAGCCACAGCUGCCCUGUGAUGCCACAUCACACUGAUGCGUCCUCGAAACCGAGGAAAUGUCAGCAGGACAUACCUGUUUACAGAGUUUCUGAGCUCACUGAGACCCUGUUGUGACAGGCGCUAGACAGAAAUGCAACACUGGCCAUACUUACUCAACAGGUCUCUUGUACAGAAGAAUCAUCAACAAAUCAUAAUACCUAAAAGGAAUUAGAACAAAACUAAACACAAAACAAAUCUUACUGAAAUGUUUUAAUUAAGCCAAGCUUUUGUUUGGAAUGCACAUAGAUGAAAAUUUAUGAGAUUCCAACUUUUUGCCCUGAGUCAGAGCAGGAAAAUGUUUGAAAUCUCAGAGCCAUUUCAUUCUAGCUUUGAACUAAGGGAAGGAAGAUUGUGUGUGCGUGCGUGCAUGCAUGCGUGUACGUGUGUGAGUGUGUGUGUGUGUUUGGCAGCAAUUAAAAUAUGAGAGUUUUGCUUAGAGCCAUAUGCUUCCUCAGAAACUGAUAAAAGUAGCAUGUGUAUAACUGCUGGAGAAUUUGCCCCAUAAUUUUAAGACAGCUGAGUUAAGCACAGUUGUUUCUUUAAAUCAGCUUACUAUCUCUUCCUUUACAAAUCAUGACAGACUAGUCUGCUUUAACCUAUUUAGAUGAAUGAAAAAAAAAUAUAUAUGAAAAUUUUGUGAAGAACAUAUGAAAUCUAGUCUGGUUACCAUUCAUCUUCUGGGUGUUAAUCACUUAGAAAACUGAGAAACAGAAUGAAUGAAUUUCUUACUGUAUUUUUCCAGCUGAAUUGUGAAAUAUAGAAAUUUCAAUGUUUUAUGUUCAUCAGUAAUUGCUCAGAUCAUUCCUCAGAACUGUAUUCACAAAGAUUUAUUUUAAAAUGUUAAAAUGCUAAUAACAGUGAUUUGACAUAUAUUUCAAAGCUGUAAAAAACUAUAACAACAAAAAAGUAUAAUUAAGCAGAGUGCAGCCUGCUUUACUUAAAGUUAGCCACUCCCCCCAAAAUGUAUGUAUAUAUAUGUGCAUAUAUUUAUUUAUAGUGUAUGUCUACUACUAUAUGUACAAAAACUACACAGUUUGAACAAGCAACAAACUACAAUGUCCUUCUCCUAUACAUUAGGUAGUUUUUCUAGUUUUUCAAGCAGAGAGGCUGUGACAGGACAAAGACUGGGUAGUAUGUUAAUAGACAUCUGGAAAUUGUAAGGGAAUUGAAUAUAUUCUCUUCUUAAGUACAAAUGAAGAAACUCAUGCAAACUUAUCUAUACUUUUACAAACAACUGGGUGAACUCAGGUUGUUGUGUAGGUUUCAAAGGCUGCCUCUGAUAAAUACAUGCUACUUGUUUAUUGAGAAGAUCUGAAUGUCCUGGCAUUGAAAGAUCUGCAUGGGCUGCAUAAGAUAAAUAUAUCUUCACAUCAGAUUAAUUAGAAAACUUAUAUUCAUACACUCUGAAGUUAUGGUAUUAAUAGAAAUUGUCACUUGUCAUGUGUUAUGAAUCAGAACUUUUAAAAUAUAUAUUGACACUGAUGCCUUCACUGUGGUUAUAAAUAGUGUUUAAAAUAAGAUUUUUAAUUUUUAUUGGUACUGCAGAAUUUGUCUGCGCAGCCAGCUUUGCUUUUAAUCUGACCACCUUGCAAACUACAUAGUUUGUGUGACAAUUAAAGUGCAUUGUAAACUAAAACUGACUUGAAUAUACUGUUACUAAUUUGCCAGCAUUGCCUGUCCUUCUCCUUUCUCCUGGUCUGAAACAAUUUGUUUGAAAUAGUUUAUUCUGUGGGUAAUUACUUAAUUGCUAAUUGUUUUAAAAGGGGAGAAUAUAAAACAGAGUAAAUCAAAACAACUUGAGGCUGCUUGGGAAACAAGCAUAUACUAUACUCCGUAAAUAUGGCUACCAGCAGACUACCACGUAUCUACUCCAUAGAUAUGGCUACCAGAGUUUGCAGCUAUGGAGCUAAGUUUAUCCAUGGAAGAUAUCAAGAUCUAGCAAAUGGUGGUCACAAUCCUCCCCAGAUCUUCCAGACAAUAUUCCAAUACACUUUUGUUUUACAGAUACUAAGGUUUUAAAGUUUGCAAAGGACUCUCAGAUACUAAUAAAAGGACUGAAAAUGUUGAUAUUAAUGCCCUCUAAACAAUAAAAUUAAUUUAAAAA